AUGAUGAGCAUCUAUUGGAGUCGAUCAUUUCCAAGAUCUAAUUCUAGUUUCUUAUUAUGUAGUGGAAACGCCUCACAAUCUUCAGUUUUACGCUUACGCUUAAGGAAGAAAUGUUCUUGGUGGAUGCAGGCCCUGGUACCCCCAAAAUUUGUAUGCAAGAUGAGCUUACAUGACUGCCAAUCAAGCGAGCCACCAGGUUUGAGAAUAAGGUGGGAUCCAAGAAUGUAG
rnacentral:rRNA from 1 species